GGUGUUGUGGCGCAAUGGUUAGCGCAUCGGAUUUCGGUCUGAUCCAAAACUUCCGAAGGUUGCAGGUUCGAAUCCUGUCAACAUCG
rnacentral:tRNA from 1 species